GCACUGUGGAUUUCUACUUGGAUCAGCAGUUUAGAAUGUGGCAAUUUCAGUACUGAAGUGUAAAUCUAGCUUCACAGUGUUUGGGAUAAACUGAUCAGAUCUCAGAUUGUCCUUGGUGUAGCCUUUGAAGUCUGUUUAUCUUUCUGGUUUGCUUACGUUAUCACAGCUUAGAAAAGAAUGAGUUUUGAUGUCCUCAGCUGCAAUUAUAAGCUCCUAAGUAAAAAUUUCAGAUGGGCUAUUCAUAUAUUAUGUGUACAGCAAAGAGACAAAUUGGUAGAUGAAACAGAGGGUCUAUUUCUUUCCUAAAUUUAUCCUCAAAGUGAGGGCUGCUUGGGUAGUUAGAUUAGCCAGAAACCUUUCUAUUGCAUAUAUGUAAUCGGAUUCAGUUUGGCUUAAACAAAAAUGGGAUUUUAUUGGCUCAGAGACUGAAAAGUCCACAAAAGGGCUAAUUUAGAUAUGGUUGGAUCAGUGUCAUCAGAAGGUGGCCUAUCUUUGCCUUUUGACUCUGCUUCCAUCUACACGUAUGCUGGCUUCCUUUUCUGUUGCCAUGUGGUAGCCCAGGGCAGCUUUGUGUUCCAUGAUAUGCUUAUACCCAGCAGUCCUAGAAAAAAAGUCUAUUUUCUAACAGUCUCAAUAAAAUGCUGGUCCUGACUCUUUGACCCAAGUGGCCACCCUAAAAUUAGUUAUUAUGGUCAAGGAUAUAAAAGGCUGACCUAUGCAGGCCUGGGUCUUAAUGUUUUCAUCCUUGACCCAUUCUCUGACCAGGAAGAAAGGAUAUGCUGACUGACUUAGAUGCAGCCACAUGUCUGCCUCUGCAGCCCUCUGCCGCCCUACUCCAACCACUGAGCUGAGAGUAGGGCGGGAGUGAUUCAUCACAGGAAAAAUAGAUGCUGUUUCCAGAACAAGGGGGAACAGACUCUUAGAAUGAAAAAUCAAAUUCAUCUAUGCUGUCAAUCAUUUUUGAAAAUUCAUAGAAUAUAACAGGCUCAUGAAAAAGUCAUGACUUUGUCAGUGCUGAUUUUUAAUUUCUGAUCUUUUUGGAGGCUUUUGGAUUUAUAUCUAUGUGUGGAUACAUGAGAUAUAGCUUAAAAAAUGAUCAUAAUGAAGAUUUUCUUGUUUUCUACCAAAACAUUUUAAAGUAAUUGAAUGGGGCACUUCUAAGGAUAGAGUCCAUAACCCUGCCAGGUUGUUCAUGGUCAGUACCUUUGGAAGAGUUAUGAUUGGUUCACUAUAAAUAAUUCACAUUGACCUCAUUUCUUUACUAAGAUUGCAUAGCAUUUGUAAGAACACAUUAAGGUAGUGGGUAUGGAUUUCAUCAAGGCAUUUGAUGGAGUCAUGAUAUCCUUGAGGGUAGGCUGAAGAAAUUUAGAUUGUUCAGAAAAUAUUUUUUGGGCACCUUGUCUGUGCGAAAUGAUGGGUAUAGAGUAGGAAAUGGCAUGGACCUGGUCCCCAGCAUUGUGGAGUUAAUGAGCCCAUUGCCUUCCCAGAGGCAGGUUUGUGCUGGCAGGCUAUAGAGCUUUCUCCUUAGUGCUGUCCACUUUGGCUUUUUAUUGAAUGUUUACCUUUUUGCAGCUUUUGUUGAACAGUUAGAUGUCCCACUGUUUUUUUAUCUCAAUAUGACUAAAUUAUUCUUAUCAUUCUCUUUGUGUUUUUCACAUUUCUGUUAUUAGCCACUUUGUGAGCAUAAAGUUAUCCUUGCCUCUUUUCUACCCAUCCAGUCAUCAAGUAUAACCUUGGUUUUUCUUUGUAAUGUUUUAUCAGCUGUCUUUCUCUAAUUCCAGUUUGGGGGCAGUCUUUUGUCUAUGAUUAUGAUUCUUUGUAUUUGUGCCUUUGGUGUUCAUCACAGGAAUUUUGGGUGACCUCACUGUCUGGACAACUGAGAUGUCCUCUCCUGAAUUAGGCACUUGUGGGACGUACAGCAAACCCUUAUAGUCCUCAUCCUCCUUUCAUCUUCCUUAUUUUCCAAUGGGAUAACUGCAGCCCAGGAGGUGAGGUGACUUCCCUAAGGAUAGGUAGGCAGUUAAUGAUGACACGAGGUCACCCAGCUCUGUUUUCCACUCCAGUGCUCUUCGAAGUGCUGUUUCUUAACAUUCGUUAAGAUUGCUUUAACCCCCAGAUUUUCUUUCUUUCUUCUGACCGUAUACUGCAUUAAAACCAUUAUUCAUGGAACAGGUAUUCUUGGUAAUUGUAUUCAUGGGAACAUUGUCAUAUUUUCCCAAGGAAGAAUUUGUACUGAGUCACAUAUAUCUAAAAGUACACUGGGUUGUGAAGUUCAGCUUUUCUUUUUUUUCUCCCAAUUGUUUUGUAUUCAACUGAAUACACAAGAAGAAUAGCUACUGCUUCAUUUAUAACAGGGCCUUUCAUUUGAAUGGUAAAGUGUACCCAUGAUAGGCUUCCUUGGAUCUUUUCCAGAAUUGUCUAUUUUAUCUUUUACAGCAGCAACUUUAGAAGAUAUCCUCAUUACGGAGAGUGGUAAUUUACUUCUUGUUAACUCCCAGCCUAUUAAGAUUAAAAGAUACUUCCUUAGGGGUUAUGGCCUGUUCUUGCCAAGAUGGGUUAUGUUGCUAAAUGUUCUACUCAAGCAUAAUGAUUCAUUGACUGUACUAUUGAACACUUAAGUAUCUUUAAAAGGACUAACCCAGGUGACUUAAAACUCUCUAUGCACGUGACUUUAGGUGUUUAAACUACUUUUCCAAUUCAAUUUUUAUUUUAUUACCUUUAAUCGAGACAUUAAAAUGUCUACUAGGUUUAUGUAUGUUUCUGUAUAUGUUCAAUUCAGAGAAAGGGCAGAAAUUUUAAGGGGAGUUGGAAUUAGAGAAAUGAAGUUGUUUUUAAGUUUAUCCUUCUUACCCAUAAAUCACAGGUAGGAUGGUUAAAAGCCGUGUGUAAACCACAGGUGAGUGUGCCGUGAGGGAGUGUGCUUUUUAGUCUGCAUUGCCUAUACUCCUCAUCAGCAAGUUCUCUGUUGUUCUUUGUAUGUCUCUGUCUCUCUGUGUCAGUCCCUAUGUAUGUGUCUGUCUCUCUCUUUCCACAAGAGUUAAGAAGCAGUCUGUGGUUCAGGAAACUUGUAAACUCCAGACUGGAAAUAGCCGUUAUCACCUUCAUCUGUUCGGUGAGCAAGAACUAUGGGAAUCUAAUUCUCUGAAUCCCUUCAGCAGUGAAGAUACCCCUUUAAACUUCUUCCUUAAAGUAUUCUGAAAGGCCCAAAACUGGGAUGUUACUUCAUGAAGAUAGAUCUUGUGGUUUUCACUUUUGAGAGGUAAAAUGAGUCAUAAUAUGCUCUUUCUUUCCAGAAAAGGUGAGUUUUCUCCAUUGAAAAAUCACUGAUUGUGCUAGCAAAUGAAAUUUUGCCUUUGCCUCUAAUGACUCUGGCAAAACAUUGUGGUUGAAUUCUCUGUCAUAGGUGAUUGCAGAGACCUCCUAACAGGCCACCUUUCUUCAGACACUUGUCAGUCUCAGAUUCCUGCCAAAGUGGCCUUAGGACUCCACUAAAUCAUAUUACUCCACCACUUGAAAAUUCUGCCUUCACUGCCAGAUUCUGUGGCAAGGCUCAAGGAAGAGGGAAAGAUAUCCCUCCCUCUUCUCAUUUCGGGAAGAUGUCUUUGCCCUUACUCUUUCAGUUUCCUCAGCCUGAAAUGUCCAUCUUCUUUCUCUGCCUGUUGGAAUUGUAAUCAUCAUGUAAGGCCCUGCUUAAAUGUUUUCUCCUCCAGAAGUCUUAGAAUCUUAGUCAGAUUUAAACACUUCUUCCUUUGGAUUUCUUCUGGUGUUGUGAUAUGUUGGUACGCUUUGUGUUAUUGGACUUUUUUCAUACAUCUACUUAACAGAGAAGCACUUUACAUGUUAGAGCACUUUAUAAAAGGGUAGAAAGUUAUUCUCUCUUUGUGUAAUUUUCACCUGGCAGUCCUUCCGCCCCUCAGAGGGUCACAUACGUAGUCUUAAAGUAUUUUUCUUAGUGUGUUUUGGCGCAACACAGUACACAAAUGCACAUGAAGUACCACCUUUUUCUUCACUAAAUUAAAUGUCCUUUUAAAAGUACGCAGCUAUUGAAUGCGGUGGCAGCUCUUAGGUCUUCUGUGUGUCUUAUGUAAUCUGUGCUGGCUCUACGAGUAAGCAACCAUGUCUAAGGGACCUGCGGUUGGUAUUGAUCUUGGCACCACCUACUCUUGUGUGGCUGUCUUCCAGCAUGGAAAAGUAGAGAUAAUUGUUAAUGAUCAGGGAAACCGAACCACUCCAAGUUAUGUUGCCUUUACUGACAGCGAACGAUUGAUUGGUGAUGCUGUGAAAAAUCAAGUUGCAAUGAACCCCAUGAACACAGUUUUUGAUGCCAAGCAUCUGAUUGGACGCAGGUUUGAUGAUGCUGUUGUCCAGUCUGAUACGAAGCAUUGGCCUUUCAUGGUGGUGAAUGAUGCAGGCAGGCCCAAGGUCCAAGUAGAAUACAAAAGAGAGACAAAAAGUUUCUAUCCAGAGGAGGUGUCAUCCAUGGUUCUGACAAAGAUGAAGGAAAUUGCAGAAGCCUAUCUGGGAAAGACUGUUACCAAUACUGUGGUCACAGUACCAGCUUACUUCAAUGAUUCUCAGCAUCAGGCUACCAAAGAUGCUGGAACUAUUGCUGGUCUCAAUGUUCUUAGGAUUAUAAAUGAGCUAACUGCUGCUGCUAUUGCUUAUGGCUUAGACAGAAAGGUUGGAGCUGAAAGAAAUGUGCUAAUCUUUGACCUUGGUGGUGGCACUUUUGAUGUGUCAAUCCUCACUAUUGAGGAUGGAAUCUUUGAGGUCAAAUCUACAGCUGGAGAUACUCACUUGGGUGGUGAAGACUUUGGCAACCGAGUGGUCAACCAUUUUAUUGCUGAGUUUAAGCGCAAACAUAAGAAGGACAUCAGUGAGAAUAAAAGAGCUGUCCGUUGCCUCCAUACUGCUUGCGAACGUGCUAAGCGUACUCUAUCUUCCAGCACCCAGGCCAGUAUUGAGAUUGAUUCCCUUUAUGAAGGAAUCGACUUCUAUACCUCCAUUACCUGUGCCCGAUUUGAAGAAUUGAAUGCUGAUCUGUUCCAUGGCACCCUGGACCCUGUAGAGAAAGCCCUUCGAGAUGCCAAACUAGACAAGUCACAGAUUCAUGACGUUGUCCUGGUUGGUGGUUCUACCCGUAUCCCCAAGAUUAAGAAGCUUCUCCAAGACUUCUUCAAUGGAAAAGAACUGAAUAAGAGCAUCAGCCCUGAUGAGGCUGUUGCUUAUGGUGCAACUGUCUAGGCAGCCAUCUUAUCUGGUGACAAAUCCAAGAAUGUUCAGGAUUUGCUACUAUUGGAUGUCACUCCUCUUUCUCUGGGUAUUGAGACUGCUGGUGGAGUUAUGACUGUGCUCAUUAAGCGCAAUGCUACUAUUCCUACCAAGUAGACACAGACCUUCAUUACCUACUCUGACAACCAGCCGGCUGUGCUCAUCCAGGUUUAUGAAGGUGAGCGUGCCAUGACCAAGGAUAACAACUUGCUUGGCAAGUUUGAACUUACAGGCAUACCUCCUGCUCCCCGUGGUGUUCCUCAGAUUGAAGUCACUUUUGAUAUUGAUGCCAAUGGCAUUCUCACUGUCUCUGCUGUGGAUAAGAGUACAGGAAAAGAAAAUAAGAUUACCAUCACUAACGACAAGGGACAUUUGAACAAGGAAGACAUUGAAUGUAUGGUCCAGGAAGCUGAGAAGUACAAGGCUGAAGAUGAGAAGCAGAGGGACGAAGUUUCAUCAAAAAAUUCACUUGAGUCCUAUGCAUUCAGCAUGAAAGCAGCUGUUAAAGAUGAGAAACUUCAAGGCAAGAUCAAUGAUGAGGACAAACAGAAGAUUCUUGACAAGUGUAAUGAAAUUAUCAACUGGCUUGAUAAGAACCAGACUGCAGAGAAGGAAGAAUUUGAACAUCAGCAGAAGGAGCUGGAGAAAGUCUGCAACCCCAUCAUUACCAAGUUGUACCAGAGUGCAGGCGGAAUGCCAGGGGGCAUGCCAGGAGGAAUGUCUGGGGGCUUUCCUGGUGGUGGUGCUCCUCCUUCUGGUGGUGCUUCCUCUGGCCCCACCAUUGAAGAGGUUGAUUAAGCCAACCCAAGUGUAGAUGUAGCAUUGUUCCACAGAGUAAAACAUUGAAGGAUCCAAAUUUGUAGCAAAUUAUGUGGCAUAUUUAAAGUUGGGCUGCUAUAGUGAAUUACUGGGCAUUUUCAAUACUUGAAUAUGGAACAUGUGCACAGGGGAAGGAAGUAACAUUGCACUUUAAAAGCACUGUAUUGUAAGUGGAAAAUGCAAUGUCUUAAAUAAAGCUGUAUUUAAAAUUG